rnacentral:rRNA from 1 species
CCUACGGUGCGCAGCAGUGAGGAAUAUUGGUCAAUGGCCGGAAGGCUGAACCAGCCAUGCCGCGUGAAGGUCAGUGCCCUAUGGGCGUUAAACUUCUUUUGUGCGGGAGCAAUAAUGGUCACGUGUGGCCAGACGAGAGUACCGUACGAAUCAGCAUCGGCUAACUCCGUGCCAGCAGCCGCGGGAAUUCGGGGGAUGCAAGCGUUAUCCGGAGUGAUUGGGUUUAAAGGGUGCGUAGGCUGUGAGGUAAGUCAGCGGUGAAAAGCCCCCGCUCAACGGGGUGAAGUGCCAUUGAUACUGCCGUGCUGGAAUGCGUAUGCCGUGGGAGGAAUGUGUGGUGUAGCGGUG